rnacentral:misc_RNA from 1 species
AAGUCGUAACAAGGUCUCCGUAGGUGAACCUGCGGAGGGAUCAUUACCGAGUGAGCGCCUCCGGGCGCGACCUCCAACCCUUUGUGAACCAAACCUCUGUUGCCUCGGGGUGACCCGGCCCCGCCCGGCCCCCGGAGGACAAUUCGAUAAAACUCUGCAUCUUUGCGUCGGAUAUCAAAAGAAAUUGAUUAAAACUUUCAACAACGGAUCUCUUGGUUCUG